GCCCGGUUAGUUCAGUUGGUUAGAACGCCACAACUUAUUAUCGUGGAAACGCGGGUUCAAUUCCUGCACUGGGCU
rnacentral:tRNA from 1 species